GGUGUGGUUGUAAGGACUGAAUCAGGAUUAAGCCAGAAAAAGAGCGAUUAAAAAUAUAUUAUUACAGGACUAACUGUGCGGAGGAAGAAAAUGACUUUGCCACGCUUAGCAUGUGACGAGGUGGCCGAGUGGUUAAGGCGAUGGACUGCUAAUCCAUUGUGCUCUGCACGCGUGGGUUCGAAUCCCAUCCUCGGUUUUUGUUUUUUUUGAGACGAAGUCUCGUUCUUGUCCCCUAGGCUGGAGUGCAAUGGCGAGAUCUCGGCUCACUGCAAUCUCCGCCUCCCGGUUUCAAGCGAUUUUCCUGCCUCAGCCUCCUGAGUAGCUGGGAUUAGAGGUGCGUACCACCAUGCCCGGCUAAUUUUUGUAUUUUUAAUAGAGACGGGGUUUCACCAUGGUGGCCAGGCUGGUCUUGAACUCCUGACCUCAGGUGAUCCGCCCGCCUCAGCCUCCCGAAGUGCUGGGAUUAGAGGCGUGAG
rnacentral:lncRNA from 1 species